GGAGGACAUGUAGAGAACGAUAGAAGGUUAGCGGCCUCUGGCUUUAUAGCGAGAGUUAGGAGGACAUGUAGAGAAUGAUAGAAGGUUAGCAUCCUCUGGCUUUAUAGCGAGAGUUAGGAGGACAUGUAGAGAAUGAUAGAAGGUUAGCGGCCUCUGGCUUUAUAGCGAGAGUUAGGAGGACAUGUAGAGAACGAUAGAAGGUUAGCGGCCUCUGGCUUUAUAGCGAGAGUUAGGAGGACAUGUAGAGAAUGAUAGAAGGUUAGCGUCCUCUAGCCUUAUAGCGAGAGUUAGGAGGACAUGUAGAGAAUGAUAGAAGGUUAGCGUCCUAUAGCCUUAUAGCGAGUUAGGAGGACAUGUAGAGAAUGAUAGAAGGUUAGCAUCCUCUGGCUUUAUAGCGAGAGUUAGGAGGACAUGUAGAGAAUGAUAGAAGGUUAGCGUCCUCUGGCUUUAUAGUGAGAGUUAGGAGGACAUGUAGAGAACGAUAGAAGGUUAGCGUCCUAUAGCCUUAUAGCGAGAGUUAGGAGGACAUGUAGAGAAUGAUAGAAGGUUAGCG
ensembl:lncRNA